rnacentral:rRNA from 1 species
GACGAACGCUGGCGGCGUGCUUAACACAUGCAAGUCGAGCGGUAAGGCCCUUUUGGGGGUACACGAGCGGCGAACGGGUGAGUAACACGUGGGUGACCUGCCCUCAGCUCUGGGAUAAGCCUGGGAAACUGGGUCUAAUACUGGAUAUGACCUUUCCUCGCAUGGGGUUGGGUGGAAAGUUUUUUCGGCUGGGGAUGGGCCCGCGGCCUAUCAGC